UUUGCGGUGGUGUAGCGGUAACAUGCGAGCUUCUUACAUCUGGCUGAAUACGUCAGUGUUGAGCACGCGCCCGGGGUUCGACUCCUCGCCAAGGAA